rnacentral:lncRNA from 1 species
GACUGGCAAACUUACCUUAGAUACCAACUGGUUAAUCAGUUUCAAUUUGAUUAACUUAUAGACUUGAGUUCUACCAUGAAGCUAUGAUUGAGGUCUAUUUUGGUCUAAUCAAAGAUAUGGAUAUUGACCAACUACAACUAUUGAGAAUUGAUCAAGAUAAGAAUUGAUCCAAUCAAAAUUAAUCGUUAAUUAGAUUUGAUCAAUUACUUAACGUAGUCCAU